UGGGGAAUCUUGGACAAUGGGGGCAACCCUGAUCCAGCCAUGCCGCGUGAGUGAUGAAGGCCUUAGGGUCGUAAAGCUCUUUCGCCUGUGAAGAUAAUGACGGUAGCAGGUAAAGAAACCCCGGCUAACUCCGUGCCAGCAGCCGCGGUAAUACGGAGGGGGUUAGCGUUGUUCGGAAUUACUGGGCGUAAAGCGCACGUAGGCGGACCAGAAAGUUGGGGGUGAAAUCCCGGGGGCUCAACCCCGGAACUGCCUCCAAAACUAUUGGUCUAGAGUUCGAGAGAGGUGAGUGGAAUUCCAAGUGUAGAGGUGAAAUUCGUAGAUAUUUGGAGGAACACCAGUGGCGAAGGCGGCUCACUGGCUCGAUACUGACGCUGAGGUGCGAAAGUGUGGGGAGCAAACAGGAUUAGAUACCCUGGUAGUCCACACCGUAAAACGAUGAAUGCCAGUCGUCGGGUAGCAUGCUAUUCGGUGACACACCUAACGGAUUAAAGCAUUCCGCCUGGGGAGUACGGUCGCAAGAUU
rnacentral:rRNA from 1 species